rnacentral:tRNA from 1 species
CCUCCUUUCAAGGAUGUGUUUUGAAAAUGUGCUUUGCAUAUUUAUGAAACAACUACCCUUAAUUCAGAAUACCAUAGCGCCAAGAUGGGCCGCCGCCUUCGUAUCCCUUUCAAGAGCCAGUCUGUUAGCCGGAUCAUGCUUUUUAUGUUUCGUGUUGGGGUAAAUCAGGUUUGGUCGAUCCGGGCCUGUAGCUCAGCUUGGUUAGAGCGCACGCCUGAUAAGCGUGAGGUCGGUAGUUCGAGUCUACCCAGGCCCACCAUCUAUAUGGGGGCGUAGCUCAGCUGGGAGAGCACCUGCUUUGCAAGCAGGAGGUCAUCGGUUCGAACCCGUUCGCCUCCACCAACAUGUUGAAUAGGCUUUAACAUUUUAAACUGGACUGAUAGGAAGUAGCUUCUCUUGUUGUUUUUUAUGAAGCAAAUCGGAAUUUUCUGCUCUUUUACAUUGUGAAUAGGUCUGAUGAU